rnacentral:rRNA from 1 species
UACGUAGGGGGCAAGCGUUGUUCGGAUUCAUUGGGCGUAAAGAGCGUGUAGGCGGCCAGGUAGGUCGGUUGUGAAAACUGGAGGCUCAACCUUCAGAGGUCGACCGAAACCAUCUGGCUAGAGUCCGGGAGAGGAGAGUGGAAUUCCUGGUGUAGCGGUGAAAUGCGCAGAUAUCAGGAAGAACACCCGUGGCGAAAGCGGCUCUCUGGAACGGUACUGACGCUGAGACGCGAAAGCGUGGGGAGCGAACAGG